rnacentral:rRNA from 1 species
CACUCCUACGGGAGGCAGCAGUGGGGAAUUUUGGACAAUGGGCGAAAGCCUGAUCCAGCAAUGCCGCGUGCAGGAUGAAGGCCUUCGGGUUGUAAACUGCUUUUGUACGGAACGAAAAAGCUCCUUCUAAUACAGGGGGCCCAUGACGGUACCGUAAGAAUAAGCACCGGCUAACUACGUGCCAGCAGCCGCGGUAAUACGUAGGGUGCGAGCGUUAAUCGGAAUUACUGGGCGUAAAGCGUGCGCAGGCGGUUAUGUAAGACAGAUGUGAAAUCCCCGGGCUCAACCUGGGAACUGCAUUUGUGACUGCAUGGCUAGAGUACGGUAGAGGGGGAUGGAAUUCCGCGUGUAGCAGUGAAAUGCGUAGAUAUGCGGAGGAACACCGAUGGCGAAGGCAAUCCCCUGGACCUGUACUGACGCUCAUGCACGAAAGCGUGGGGAGCAAACAGGAUUAGAUACCCGUGUAGUCC